rnacentral:lncRNA from 1 species
GCUGGGGCUGUGGGUGCCAUCUUGUCACCUUGAAGGAAGAGCCCACCUGAGAACGACAUCAACUCAGAGGGAAGUCAGCAGAGCCAAGAGGCCGGGAGAGGUGAUUCCUGGUGACAUCAUCUGGCUCCUGGGUGCAGCCAUGGUGGAGUUGGCCUCGAACGUUGUCCCUGGCAUGGAGGGGGAAGAGGCCUGAGGCAAGUUCCAGCAAAUAGGAUAUUCCAUGCAGUGAGGCUUCCAGAAGGAAAUUAUCCACAGGGAUCUGAAGCCAGAGAACUUCCCUGAGGAGGCUCAGCACGACAUGGAAACAACAGACUCUGGCUUUGAUACCAGAUUCACCGUAGGCUGAAAGCUGAUCCCCUUCGGUGGGAGCUCCUCUUAUGCAGCCUCAGAACUGUUCCCCGGGACAAAAGUACGAUGUACCCUGGUGGGCGUGUGGAGCCUGGGAGUCACUGUCUACACCAUGGUGGCCGAGGACUGCUAUCUGUUGGGCAGACUUUUGUGGGGCUGAGGACGACACUAAUACUGUGUGAAUGGUGACAGGCGAUGCCAUUCCUUAUUUCCAUAGAACUAGAACGCCUCAUAAACACAAUUCUGGCCGUUGACUCCAGGGAGAGGCCCUCACUAGCCCUCAUCAUGGGGCGCCCAUGGAUUAACAUGGGCCAGGAGGAGACGCUAACUAAGGCCAUACUGGGAGCUGCUCCCCGAUCACCCGGAGUCUGGAAAGCGCUCCUGGUGUCCCCGGGAGAUGAGGCAGACCAUGUCCCAUCGUUGUUGGAAAAAUAUAUGAUGAUACCAUGGCUGGCUAUCAGAUCCUGGGCUGCAGGAAACCCGAGGUGUGGGGCGUCAUCAUCACAGUGAAGCUCCUGCCUUCAGCAGAUCCUACUACUUGCCGCCAUUCUCCCCCAUCACCUGAAAAAAACUCCUCUAAUGAAUAUUAAACUUGUACUGGAAAAAGGUCAAUAAAUAAAUAAAUAAGAUAUAGUCGCC